ACCUUAUCGCUGUAAUCCCUCAGGACCCGCUCGAUAGCCCCCGCCUCGCCGGCCCGGACGAUGUAGAGGGCGCGCUCCUCAUCCAUGGCCGCAGGUGCGGGGGAGCCGCGGCCGCUCUGCGCGCCCAAGCCGCUGCCUCCAGGUGAGAAAAUUGAGGCCCAAAACUUGGUCAGCUGAAAAAUGGGGAAGUGUCCAUCAACAGUGAGACACUGCUAUGUGGAAGAGCUGCAGAUACCUGAUUGGCCCUGACUCUCAAUGAGCUAAACUUGAUGACACGUGUAUCAUCUGAGCAAUGAUAUUCAGAGUCC